rnacentral:misc_RNA from 1 species
GUAGGUUAUUGCCAGGGUUUUAUUUUUAUACUUUAAACUUUGAUUUUAUUUUUAUGUUUUUUAAAUAUUGGUGUUUUUGAAUGUGUUGUUUAAAUAACAUAAAAAAUAAAAUAUAUAUUGACAUGUAUUAAACAAAGAUAUAUAUUAUUUUAUGUUGUAUAAAUAAAUUGGCAAAAUAGAGAUGGAAGAUAAAAAUAAAACCCUGGCAAUAACCUACUCAAAGG